rnacentral:rRNA from 1 species
AGAGUUUGAUCCUGGCUCAGAACGAACGCUGGCGGUAUGCCUAACACAUGCAAGUCGAACGCGAACGGAGUCUUCGGAUUCCAAGUAGAGUGGCGCACGGGUGAGUAACACGUGGAUAACCUGCCCUAGAGUCUGGGAUAACACUUCGAAAGGGGUGCUAAUACCGGAUAAGCCCACACAACCUUCGGGGCGAGUGGGAAAAGAUUUAUUGCUCUAGGAUGGGUCCGCGGUCCAUUAGCUAGUUGGUGGGGUAAUGGCCUACCAAGGCUGCGAUGGAUAGCUGGUCUGAGAGGAUGAUCAGCCACACUGGAACUGAGACACGGUCCAGACUCCUACGGGAGGCAGCAGUGGGGAAUUUUGCGCAAUGGGGGAAACCCUGACGCAGCAAUACCGCGUGAAGGAUGAAGGCCCUUGGGUCGUAAACUUCUGUCAGAGGGGAAGAAAUACUCGCAAGAGUGCUGACGGUACCCUCAAAGGAAGCACCGGCUAACUCCGUGCCAGCAGCCGCGGUAAUACGGAGGGUGCAAGCGUUGUUCGGAAUUAUUGGGCGUAAAGAGCAUGUACGCGGUUUGUUAAGUCUGGUGUGAAAGCCCGGGGCUCAACCCCGGAAGUGCAUUGGAUACUGGCAGACUUGAGUAUGGGAGAGGGAAGUGGA